rnacentral:lncRNA from 1 species
CAAAAAAAAAAAAAAAAGGCAAAAAGAGAAUUUGGAGAUACAGACAAAAACUCGAACUUGGAGAAACAUUAGGUUUGCCUGUGGUGCUGUGAUUAUAUAUAAUAUACACAGGCACAAAAUUUGGGGCAGCUUUGGGGGGGCAAAAUUAUAUACAUUGAUGUAGAAAACCAAGGCAGGGAGGAGAGAAAAGAAGGGGCCUGCUGCUGAAAUAUAUAAACACAUAUUGACGGCUGAAUUUGGAGGAGGAUUAGAGUUGCUUUUGAUGGCAGCUGAUUUUAUUUAUAUAUACAACAAACACAAGCUGUAAUUGAAGCAGAGAACGCUGGGCUGCCAACUGGAAUUAAUUUAUAUACAAACAUACACGCACAGGGAGGAGUUACACGCAAAAGCCGGCUAAAAAUUGGAAGAAAAAGGACAGAAAACAACAACUUUAAUUGGAGAAUAAAUCGCGUUCGCUAAAUUUCCAGUGAUGUCUUUCUAAUUUUAUGUGUUUAAUUCCAAUCUUAU